GUUCACUUAAGUGAUCAUCAAAUAAUUCCCCUGCCAUCUAGCCUAGUGGCUUGCUGUGGCUAUUUUUAGAGUUUCGGCAUUAGUAUGAAGCUGCAUGUUCACGUUCAAGAGAAGGACUCGGGACUUGAAGGCUCGUCAUAGAGGUUGGUGCCCACCCCUUUUACCCUGCCCAGUUUCCAGUUCUGUAGCUGCCCAUGACAAAGUGGAGGAGGAUCAUGCUGCUACCUACAAGUGUUCAUGGUGUGUUGCAACCCCACGAAUUCACAGAGGGAUUUAAUUUAAAGAACCUUCCCAGAUGAUGUUUCAUCCCCACGACUGGGAA